GCUCUGGGUGCAAUCGGUUAGCGCAUUUGGCCGUUAACCGAAAGGUUGGUGGUUUGAGCCCACCCUGGGACA